CGCCGAAGUCUGUAUGGAAUUACCUGCGCCCGCCGCGGAGCUGGCACCGGUGGAUGGAUGGGCGCCGCGUCCGCGGCACCGGCGGCCAGCUCAGCCCCAGGAGUAAACACGGGGCUUCUCCGGCCGAGUGCGCAGUGUGGUGACCGGCGCUCGCCCCGCUGACCGAUCGCACCGGAGGGAUAUUUUCGGGAGGCUCCUGUGGGAAGCAACCACGGAAAGACAGAAAAUGAAAGCUCCUAUUCCCAACUUGAUUCUCUUGUAUGCUACUCUGACUCAGAGCUUGAAGGUCGUGACCAAAAGGGGAUCAGGAAGAAGCAAAAACCUUGAAUUGUUAAUGGAUUGUACAAUUUUGCUUUGAUUUUGCUGCUCUCUCACGGGAUAAGAAAUUGGAAAAAUACUUCCUUAGAGUUAUUGUAGCGCUGUCAUAGUCAAGUGUAACAACUUCAUUGUGUUAAGCUCCACGUAUAUCAAGAGAAACAAAAUUAUCCUAUUUCUGUGUAUGUGCAACUAUGCUAAGAGAAAUUAUCUGCAGGGAAAUAAAUUCUAUUUCAGGUUGAGAUUGGAAAAAAAA
rnacentral:lncRNA from 1 species